AUCGAACGCUGGCGGCAGGCCUAACACAUGCAAGUCGAGCGAGCGGCGGACGGGUGAGUAAUGUAUGGGGACUGCCCGAUAGAGGGGGCUAACUACUGGAAACGGUGGCUAAUACCGCAUACUAUCGGAUAACCCAUAUGGGAUUAGCUAGUAGGGGGGGUAAAGGUUCACCUAGGCGACGAUCUCUAGCUGGUCUGAGAGGAUGAUCGGCCACACUGGGACUGGGACACGGCCCUGAUUCCUACGGGGGCAGCAGGGGGGAAUAUUGCACAAUGGGCGCAAGCCUGAUGCAGCCAUGCCGCGUGUAUGAAGAAGGCCUUAGGGUUGUAAAGUACUUUCAGCGGGGAGGCGUUACCCGCAGAGAAAGCACCGGCUAACUCCGUGCCAGCAGCCGCGGUAAUAC
rnacentral:rRNA from 1 species